CUGCAUGAUUUCAUCUUGUUAGCGUCAGGAAACAUCGCUGAUUGUUCUUUGGAUUUAAACGCAAGCCGUAAGCAGUAUGAUCG
rnacentral:snoRNA from 1 species